AUAAUUUAUGAUGUUAGUUUGAUUCUGGCUAAAAUUUAUUAAUUUUAAGAAUUAUUAUAUAUGUAAGUUUUUGCUUUAUUUUGAUUAAUUAAAUUAUUUGCAGUGUUUAGUUUUGAAUAUGAAUUUAUUUUUGAUUUGGGAAUUCUUUUUAAUAUUGUAUUAGUUUGUGCCAGCCUACGCGGUUAUACAUUAAAUGUUAAUUAAUAUUUUUAGUUUAGUGAAGUUUAGUUAUAUUAUUGAUAUAAUUAUUUAAUUAUAAGGUGAAAUUUUAAUUUUUUAUUAUUAUUUUAUUUCGAUUCUUCUAAAUAUUUAAUUUAAACUAGGAUUAGAUACCCUAUUAUUUUUUGUGUAAAAUAUUAACUUAGGUAUUAUUAGUUAUUUCUUUAAACCUAAAGAAUUUGGCGGUGUUUUAUUCUAUUCAGAGGAAUUUGUCCCUUUAUCGAUAGUCCUCGUUAUAUCUAGCUUUAUUUAAUUAGUAUGUAUACCGCCGUUAUAAGUUUAUUUUAUUAGAAUUUAAAUUUGCUUUAUAUUUUAUUUUAUUUUAUUUCAGGUCAAGGUGCAGCUUAUAAUUAAGUGGAGAUGAAUUACAAUAUUAUGUUAAUAAAAUGGAAUUGAAAUUUAAAAUUUUUAAUGAAAGUGGAUUUGAUUGUAAUUUUAAUUAUAAUAUUAAUUUGAUUUAGCUCUAAAAUGAGUACAUAUCGCCCGUCACUCUCAAUUAUUUGAGAUAAGUCGUAACAUAGUAGGUUUACUGGAAAGUGAAUCUAAGUUUUAU
rnacentral:rRNA from 1 species